GACGAACGCUGGCGGCGUGCUUAACACAUGCAAGUCGAACGGAAAGGCCUGCUUUCUCUUGUGGAUUGCGGGUACUCGAGUGGCGAACGGGUGAGUAACACGUGAGUGAUCUGCCCCCAACUUGGGUAUAAGCCUGGGAAACUGGGUCUAAUUCCCGAUAGGACUGCAGGGUGGUGCCUGUGGUGGAAAACGAUUUUCUAGUGGUUGGGGAUGAGCUCGCGGCCUAUCAGCUUGUUGGUGGGGUAAUGGCCUACCAAGGCGGCGACGGGUAGCCGGCCUGGGAGGGUGGACGGCCACAUUGGGACUGAGAUACGGCCCAGACUCCUACGGGAGGCAGCAGUGGGGAAUAUUGCACAAUGGGCGGAAGCCUGAUGCAGCGACGCCGCGUGGGGGAUGACGGCCUUCGGGUUGUAAACUCCUUUCGACCGCGAGGAAGCCACCUGGUUGGAAGGGUGGUGACGGUAGUGGUAGAAGAAGCACCGGCUAACUACGUG
rnacentral:rRNA from 1 species